UCCUACGGGAGGCAGCAGUGGGGAAUUUUGGACAAUGGGGGCAACCCUGAUCCAGCCAUGCCGCGUGAGUGAAGAAGGCCUUCGGGUUGUAAAGCUCUUUCAGCCGGGAAGAAAAUGCAUGGGUUAAUACCCUGUGCAGAUGACGGUACCGGAAUAAGAAGCACCGGCUAACUACGUGCCAGCAGCCGCGGUAAUACGUAGGGUGCGAGCGUUAAUCGGAAUUACUGGGCGUAAAGCGUGCGCAGGCGGUUUUGUAAGACAGGCGUGAAAUCCCCGGGCUUAACCUGGGAACUGCGUUUGUGACUGCAAGGCUAGAGUACGGCAGAGGGGGGUGGAAUUCCACGUGUAGCAGUGAAAUGCGUAGAGAUGUGGAGGAACACCAAUGGCGAAGGCAGCCCCCUGGGUCGAUACUGACGCUCAUGCACGAAAGCGUGGGUAGCAAACAGGAUUAGAUACCCUGGUAGUCCACGCCCUAAACGAUGUCAACUAGGUGUUGGGAGGGUAAAACCUUUUAGUACCGUAGCUAACGCGAGAAGUUGACCGCCUGGGGAGUACGGCCGCAAGGUUAAAACUCAAAGGAAUCGACGGGGACCCGCACAAGCGGUGGAUGAUGUGGAUUAAUUCGAUGCAACGCGAAGAACCUUACCUACCCUUGACAUGUCAGGAACUUUCCAGAGAUGGAUUGGUGCCCGAAAGGGAACCUGAACACAGGUGCUGCAUGGCUGUCGUCAGCUCGUGUCGUGAGAUGUUGGGCUAAGUCCCGCAACGAGCGCAACCCUUGUCGUUAAUUGCCAUCAUUCAGUUGGGCACUUUAACGAGACUGCCGGUGACAAACCGGAGGAAGGUGGGGAUGACGUCAAGUCCUCAUGGCCCUUAUGGGUAGGGCUUCACACGUCAUACAAUGGUCGGUACAAAGGGUCGCCAGCCCGCGAGGGGGAGCCAAUCCCAUAAAGCCGAUCGUAGUCCGGAUUGUAGGCUGCAACUCGCCUGCAUGAAGUCGGAAUCGCUAGUAAUCGUGGAUCAGCAUGUCACGGUGAAUACGUUCCCGGGUCUUGUACACACCGCCCGUCACACCAUGGGAGCGGGUUCCGCCAGAAGUAGGUAGCCUAACCGCAAGGGGGGCGCUUACCACGGCGGGGUUCGUGACUGGGGUGAAGUCGCAACAAGGUAGCCGUAGGGAACCUGCGGCUG
rnacentral:rRNA from 1 species